rnacentral:rRNA from 1 species
GAUGAACGCUGGCGGCGUGCCUAAUACAUGCAAGUCGAGCGAACAGACGAGGAGCUUGCUCCUUUGACGUUAGCGGCGGACGGGUGAGUAACACGUGUAUAACCUACCUAUAAGACUGGGAUAACUUCGGGAAACCGGAGCUAAUACCGGAUAACAUGUUGAACCGCAUGGUUCAACAGUGAAAGACGGUCUUGCUGUCACUUAUAGAUGGAUCCGCGCCGCAUUAGCUAGUUGGUAAGGUAACGGCUUACCACGGCGACGAUGCGUAGCCGACCUGAGAGGCUGGUCGGCCACACUGGAACUGAGACACGGUCCAGACUCCUACGGGAGGCAGCAGUAGGGAAUCUUCCGCAAUGGGCGAAAGCAUGACGGAGCAACGCCGCGUGAGUGAAGAAGGUCUUCGGAUCGUAAAACUCUGUUAUUAGGGAAGAACAAAUGUGUAAGUAACUAUGCACGUCUUGACGGUACCUAAUCAGAAAGCCACGGCUAACUACGUG